rnacentral:rRNA from 1 species
UACGUAGGGUGCAAGCGUUAAUCGGAAUUACUGGGCGUAAAGCGUGCGCAGGCGGUUUUGUAAGUCUGUCGUGAAAUCCCCGGGCUCAACCUGGGAACUGCAUUUGUGACUGCAUGGCUAGAGUUUGGCAGAGGGGGGUAGAAUCCACGUGUAGCAGUGAAAUGCGUAGAUAUGUGGAGGAACACCGAUGGCGAAGGCAGCCCCCUGGGUCAAGAC